GCGGUAGCUCAAUUGGCAGAGCAGCGGUCUCCAAAACCGCAGGUUGCAGGUUCGAUUCCUGUCCGCC
rnacentral:tRNA from 4 species